rnacentral:rRNA from 1 species
UACGAAGGGGGCUAGCGUUGCUCGGAAUCACUGGGCGUAAAGGGUGCGUAGGCGGGUUCUUAAGUUAGAGGUGAAAGCCUGGAGCUCAACUCCAGAACUGCCUUUAAUACUGGGAAUCUUGAGUUCGGAAGAGGUGAGUGGAACUGCGAGUGUAGAGGUGAAAUUCGUAGAUAUCGGGAGGAACACCAGUGGCGAAGGCGGCGCCUGGGCCCAAUAUUGACGCUGAGGUGCGAAAGCGUGGGGAGCAAACAGGG